UGCGUAUAUAUUGAUGCAUCGUUGCCAUGUCUGGCUCUCCAGGUGCGUGCUAGCUAGAAGUUCGGAUCUGUAAUCAAUAUAUAUAUAUAGCCCUUAAAUCUAACAAUCAAAUUAUGAGAGAAUCAUCUAUACUUGAACUAGAAAGGUCGAUUCUGUGUCUCGAUUUUGUUUAGGAAUAUUAGCAAGUUGAGUAACCUUAUUCUUUCUAAAAUAGGGAUAUUCCUGAAUGUUGUUUACUACUUCUAUUAUGUUGCUUAUUUUUGUGGUUCCAUUUGAACAGGAUGUGCACUCUUGUCUCCGUCGUUAUACCUAUUUUGGAAUCCAUGGCAGCAUGUUGUGCUUUGUCGGCACAUUCGUGCAUGUGUGAGGUAGCAGAUGAAGAAGCACCGAAUGAUCAUUAUAUUCUCCUCUGCUCUGAUCUUCUAUUGACAUAUGUAAGAUGUACCUUAUUUCCUGGUAUUUCCUGAGAUUCUGGACUGAUUGUUUGACAGUGAUUAUUAUGUAAAAGUGUUUUCAGUUGCUGUUUAGUAUGGAUGCCUCCAUGGUUGCAUAGG
rnacentral:lncRNA from 1 species